UUAUUUAUAGCCUCUGGCUAUAGGAAAUUGUUAGUGGCAGACGGGUGAGUAAUGCGUAGGAAUCUACCUAGUAGUACGGAAUAGCCAUUAGAAAUGGUGGGUAAUACUGUAUAAUCCCCGAGGGGGAAAGAUUUAUCGCUAUUAGAUGAGCCUACGUUAGAUUAGCUAGUUGGUGAGGUAAUGGCUUACCAAGGCUAUGAUCUAUAGCUGGUCUGAGAGGACGAUCAGCCACACUGGAACUGAGAUACGGUCCAGACUCCUACGGGAGGCAGCAGUGGGGAAUAUUGGACAAUGGGCGAAAGCCUGAUCCAGCUAUGCCGCGUGAGUGAAGAAGGCCUUCGGGUUGUAAAACUCUUUCAAUAGGGAAGAUAAUGACGGUACCUAUAA
rnacentral:rRNA from 1 species